rnacentral:rRNA from 1 species
GACGAACCGUGCGAACGUUAUUCGGAAUCAUUGGGCUUAAAGGGCGCGUAGGCGGCGGCGUAAGUUGGAAGUGAAAUCCCAUCGGCUCAACCGUGGAAUUGCUCCCAGUACUGCGUCGCUCGAGGGGGAUAGGGGUCUGCGGAACUACCGGUGGAGCGGUGAAAUGUGUUGAUAUCGGUGGGAACGCCAGUGGCGAAAGCGGCAGACUGGACCCUUCCUGACGCUGAGUGCGCGAAAGCUAGGGGAGCAAACGGG